AAAUGGCUAGGUCUUCCGAAAGAUGGAGGCGCUCCACUUCAUAUUAUACCAACAGACGUUCUCAAUCAUCUAACGCUGCAUAGGAGCAACAAAAAAUCCAUCGAACCUAUAUCAUGAAAUGAUGCAGCAUCCAGGGAUAGUCAGUGGGCGAGCACUGGCAUAUAUCUCGAGGAAAAUGGAUAAAAUAGUGGACUUAGAAAAAUCCAAUCAAAACCUCAUGCACAACAUUUAUACAUACAUAUAUAGGAUGUCGGAAUAGGGACAAAGGUCCAAUUACAUUAUAUUUUAAACCAUUAGCCUGAACUAUGUAGCUUGCUCAGUCCUAAAGGCACCCACGGGCUAUAUGGGUCCGACUCCCCCUGUCGUAAAAGCCCCAAUGCUUAUUAGCCACACGUACCAAGAGAACCGAGGAUAGGCUAAAUACACCAAGGAGAUAGCCAUUCAAAAUAUAAUGUGUAUCAAGAUACAUAGCCAUAUAGACCCCCAAUGAAGGCAAACAUUGUUUCCACUGUUACUUUCCCUGGGACAACACCUGCAGGAUGAAUUACACAAUUUCCUUUAAGCCUAAUUUAAAA
rnacentral:lncRNA from 1 species